AGGGAAAUCUGGUGCUUCUCCAGAUGGCCUGAUAUGAAGGAGUCACGCCUCCCGCCUUCCGGAGCUGCCCAGUGGCUGCCUUGUCCUUCAAGUGCAGGAGCUGGUUCAAAUGUCGGAAAUGGAAGCCAGUGUGACCAUCCCAAUCUGGCAAAACAAGCCACAUGGGGCUGCUCGAAGUGUAGUAAGAAGAAUUGGGACCAACCUACCCUUGAAGCCGUGUGCCCGGGCGUCCUUUGAGACCCUGCCCAACAUCUCUGACCUGUGUUUGAGAGAUGUACCCCCAGUCCCUACCCUGGCUGACAUCGCCUGGAUUGCUGCGGAUGAAGAGGAGACAUAUGCCCGGGUCAGCUUCGGCUUCAUUAACGCCAGAUUUCUUAUCUCCAGGAAGUUCAAAUGUCUCUUCUCCCUUACCUUGUUUUGGAUCCUCAUUCCACUCUACAACUUCCUUUGUCAUUAGUGACAUCACCGAGGAGACAGAGGUGGAGGUCCCUGAGCUUCCAUCAGUCCCCCUGCUUUGUUCUGCCAGCCCUGAAUGUUGCAAACCAGAACACAAAGCUGCCUGCAGUUCGUCUGAAGAGGAUGACUGCGUCUCUUUGUCCAAGGCCAGCAGCUUUGCCGACAUGAUGGGUAUCCUGAA
rnacentral:sRNA from 1 species